UACGUAGGGGACAAGCGUUGUCCGGAUUUACUGGGCGUAAAGAGCGCGCAGGCGGUCGUUCAAGUCGAGUGUGAAAGCCCCCGGCUCAACUGGGGAGGGUCACUCGAUACUGAUCGACUUGAAGGCAGGAGAGGGAAGCGGAAUUCCCGGUGUAGUGGUGAAAUGCGUAGAUAUCGGGAGGAACACCAGUGGCGAAGGCGGCUUCCUGGCCUGCUCUUGACGCUGAGGCGCGAAAGCCAGGGGAGCAAACGGG
rnacentral:rRNA from 1 species